CACCCAGGUUACUUGCUUUUUUUUUUUUUGCGUCCAGCCACCAUUGCGCCAAAACAUAAUUGGCGUUGAUAUUUUGGAGUGUCUGAGGAAAAACAACGCAUAAUUAAUGAAAAGAUGGUAGACCCAGGAAAAACAGACAACGUGCUUAUAACAGAGACCGCUGAUGUGUCUAUACAUUCUGUGCCAACUUAUAUGGAUCCUUAUGAGCGAUCGGUAAAAUACAUGGAAAGUCAUAACAUCCUUGAGAUCUUUCAGGAGAUUACUGAAAACCUGGUUUUUGACAGGCCAGAGGAUCCUCUUCAGUUCAUGUUAGAACAGGUGCAAUUGAUGAUUCGAGAAAAGGAAUCCAAUGCCAAACCAGAGGAAAGAGAGUAGGCUAGCAGCCUGUUCUACCAUGCAUUGCAGAAGACAACUAACUCAUUCAGCCAUGAGUAAAUCAUAAUUUAACGCUAACAGUGUUUGCCUGUAUAUCCCUAGCAGACUUCAAAACAUCAGCUAGCAUAGGUCAUUUGCAGGAAUAAACAUAUACUGUCACACCAUAAACUCUUAGAAAUCUAUACACCAAUUAUUUAAAUGUAUGUGUAUCGGCUAGCUUUCUUAUACCCAAAAUUACAAUUUAGCAAGACCAGACAUUCAAACAACCUUAUGAUAGAUGUGAUACGUGCUUAAAAUCAGAAGUGCAGAAUUAUUCAAUUCAGUAUGAAAUGCAAAACAAAUGUACAGUUUAUUGUCCCAGGCAGAUAGUUUCCAAAAGACUAUUUAGAUUAUCCACCAUAAUGAAAAUACUUCCUCUUAAUAUGCUAAAGAAGUGAUGCAGGCUUUUGACGUUUUCAAGAUAUUUAGUCAAUGUUUACUGUGUGUUGAAGGCUGGAGCUCAUUAAAAGCAUUAACUACAUGAA